UCACGUGACGCGACGCCACGCGCGCCGGGGCUCGCCCCCGCGCGGCCACGUGACGGGGCCCGCCCCCGCCCGCGCGGCGAGGCGUUUUGGCGGCAAAGCGGCCGCAAAUGGCGGCGGCCUCGCGGCGCUGGGCGCCGGCUGGGCUUUGCCGCUGUCCCUCGAGUCCAGAGUCGAGGAAUCAAUUCGGUUGGAAAAGGCCUCUCAGGUCAUCGAAUCUGACCUAUGACUGAACACCGUGACGUCAACUAGACCGUGGCGCUAAGGGUCGCGUCCGGUCCUUCCUCCCACCUGAGAGCGCCGUGUGGCACGAACCGCUGCUGGACAGGCCAUGGCCCACUCCACCGAGCUUUUGUGGCUUGUUCAUUCCUCACCGUUCUUCCUCUGCAGGAAGUGUGUUAGCCUCAAGAAUGGCACUGAGUUGUCUUCACACCUAGAUCAUCCUGCUUUCUUAAUUGGAAAUGGCAGUGCAGCUUGGCUGUUCAAAUGAAGCAGGUGAGAUCCGGAGGUUCUGGAGGGCCUUAUUGCCCUUGCGUGCUGGGCCAAACACCCCCUCACACGCUGGUGAUGUACUCACAAUAGCGCAAAGCUCCAGUGAUGGACAUUGUCCUUCCCUGCAUCUGCUAAAUUAGCUGAGGAGAUUCCUUCGUCUGUCAAGGGUGUUGGAAGUACUGGAGAUGGGCCUGAGGCACUGAUUCUGGUGAGAAGGAAAACAUGGAUCUGAUGGACGCUGAAUUGGCAUGGAUACAUGUUUUGCAGUCUUCUAGGUUGCACAGGUUGACAUGUGUUGAUGGCUUCACACUCUUCACUUUCCCUCCUUGAGGAAUUGAGGAGGAAAUGUGUUACAGCAGCAAGAGAGCACCCUGCCUGAAGUGAAUCUUUCUCAUAGCUAGCCAGCACUGCCUGAAGCUGGACAUUUCACAUCAUCUGAAAAAUGAGGAAUACUAGUACUUUACACAAACUUAAAUUAGGUGUAACAGUCUUUUGACUGGAACAGGCUACCAGCAGGCCCCUGAACAUGCCUUCCAGUCUUGCACUGACCCAGGUGUGACUCAAUAUCCCAUACCCACUGCCUUAUCUUCUAUGACCACGGGAUUGCUUUGAUGUUCUCUUUUUUUUUUUUUUUGUCACAAAAGACAAAUGGCACUACCUACUGCUUGUAUUCAGUUGAAAGCUGAGGUGUAUGGUGAAAUGAACACUAAAUCAGAGCUGGGAAGAAAGGAGGUUCUUCCAGAAAUGCAGAAAUGUUAGUCUGCAAGUGUAGACAUUCACAGUGAGAACACUGAAUAUGUAACAUUUUGGAGACAAGUCUGGGAAUCUGGUCCAAAAAUGACCACAUUUUGGGUCAUAGCAGUGAACCCAAAGUGAUAUGUUUCUUGUUUUCCAUACAAGCAUCCAAGUAGAUAUCUUAUUUGCGACUUGUAAGCCUGAAACAUUUUUAGGUUUCUUGACUUUUUUUGCACAGGAAAUCCAUUGUGUUACAAGCAGAAGAAGAGAAAACUUAGCUUUUCCAUUUAAGGUUAAUGUAGCACCAGGUAAAUCUGGUUUGUUUGUAUCCCUCACUACCAAACCACCUAUAACACCAGUACGACUCAGUCAUGCAAAUGCUAGAAACAAUGGCACGAGGACCUAUUUAUUCUUUCUCAAUCACUUAAUAUAUCUGUAGGAUCUAAAAUACCUUCUCUGGAUAAUUCUGUCCUAUACUGUGCUGUUUGCAAUUAUUUUCACUUAAGUGUGAGCCACAAUACCCCAAUUGGACCCUGAUAGUCUGUCCUUGCUUUGGCUUGCUGUAUUGUUUCUGCCUUGACCAGGGGGUGUUCUGAAUUGAGCCCAGGCUGGGGAGGAAGGAGAAAGGGAGUAUGGGUUUCUCAAUCAUGCCAAAGGUUAGCAUGAUUAGGGUAGAGUUAGUGUUGUUUUGUUCUCCUCAGGAUCAAGCCUAAAGUAACCCAUCCCUCAGUUGCACUACCCUGAAGUGCACUUGUACGUGAGCCUCCAGGGGCUUUGUGCAAGGGAGGACUUCUGUCUUUAAUCAUGAGUCACAGGCAGAGAAUUGCUAAUCUUCUAUCUGAGAGACCCAGAAAAUAAUUAUUAAGUGUAAGGAAUGACCACAAACAGUGGUGAAAAACAAAGGAGUUAUUUUUUUUCUUGACAACAGUGAGAAUGUGAUGACAGCAACUGAUUCAAGCGUGGCAAUGGCCUGAGAGAGGGGAAAAUAAUUAAGACCAGCUAUGAGGCCUUGUUGCUCAUCCUGUAUUUGACUCCUGACAGGAGCUACUCUGGUGGAUAUAGCUCAUGGAAGAGGAGAGCUGUUGCUUACUGGUGACAGGAGAAGGAGAUUAUGCAGAGAAGAGGUUCUUUUCAGAUACCUGUUUUCUUCAUGGACAUGUGGGGCAGGCUAUGUGACGUGGAAGAAUGUGAAUAUAAAAGAGAGGACGCUUACAUUGCAGAAGAAGAAACAUUGAUUGUAAUUGUAAAUAUCGUCAAGUAAUCCACCUGCUGUUAAAAUGGAAAAUAUAGAGAAGAGAGAAGCAGAUGAGGAAGAUGCAUGUAUUAGGAAGGACAAUUGAAAGGAGGGAUGAAAAAAACGAACUCAACCAAAACAGUCCAAGAACAAAGACUGUGAAGAUGGUGAGAAAGACCAAAAAAAGGAUGGAAGACUGGAAGGAAAAGGUCCUGACUUUUACACCAGUUCAAAGACAGAAUUUUUUUGUCAAGAAGACCUUAUUGUUUGGGUGUGCUAGAAAUAAAGAUUUAAGAUAAGGGCUUAUAGCACACUUUGCCACUUUACCCAAGCUGCUAUCGCUGCCUAACUGUGUCAGUGCACUCACAUGCCAACACCCAGGCUGGUAAAUGGAUGUGGGGUAUAAAACUGUUCCCAGGAUGACGUACUGUGGGACUCCUCCUGAGAGAGCUUCCCAGAAUGACAACAAACCAUCAAUUACUGCGCUUUGAGAACAAUUUUACAAAUGUUGUGCACCUACAGGGCUGCUACUUAUCUCUGGAAUGCACUGACGUGACUUACUUAGUAAAAUGCUGUGCAGAACAAUGUCAAAAGCUUGUCAUUGUCAUGAUGCAUCAUAUCUGCUAUUUGCACUUAUUUGUUAAAGCAAUUAUCCUGUCAGAGAAUGAGAUUAGCAUCAAUUGGUACAAUUUUUCUCAUGACUAACCCAUUUCAACUAGUUUUUAAUAAUUAUCAUAAUAUUCCAGGUAUUUACCAAUUUUUUAUUUAAUAAUUUGUUCCAUUUCAGGGGAUAAAAGGUUGACAAUAUAAAAUGCUCUGUGUUCUCUAUUCUCUCUUCUAAAAAUAAAUAUUACAUUUAUACUUUUCUACAGCUUGAACCUUCCUUGCUUGCUGUUAUUUCUUGAAAAUCGUCAUUAAUGAUUCAAACAUUAUUUCAGCUUAUUCUCUGAACAUUCAUGGUUAAUUUCAUCACAGCCCACUCACUUAACCAACUCUAACUUUUUC